rnacentral:rRNA from 1 species
GCUCGAGUGGCGAACGGGUGAGUAACACGUGAGUAACCUGCCCUUGACUUUGGGAUAACUUCAGGAAACUGGGGCUAAUACCGGAUAGGAGCUCCUGCUGCAUGGUGGGGGUUGGAAAGUUUCGGCGGUUGGGGAUGGACUCGCGGCUUAUCAGCUUGUUGGUGGGGUAGUGGCAUACCAAGGCUUUGACGGGUAGCCGGCCUGAGAGGGUGACCGGCCACAUUGGGACUGAGAUACGGCCCAG